CCUCUCUCUGGAUCACACCUGGAGAGUUUCCAGUAUUCAACCAGUCUUGAACAUGGGAGGGAGAGUCAAGCAGAGGCCUGUCCCUUCCAUUCCUAGCUUGGUCAGUGGCUAGCGAGUGGACGGCAAUCUGCUACAAGU